rnacentral:rRNA from 1 species
UAAUACGAAGGGGGCUAGCGUUGCUCGGAAUUACUGGGCGUAAAGGGCGCGUAGGCGGUUUGGUCAGUCAGGCGUGAAAUUCCCGGGCUCAACCUGGGGGCUGCGCUUGAUACGGCCAGACUAGAGGACGGAAGAGGCUCGCGGAAUUCCCAGUGUAGAGGUGAAAUUCGUAGAUAUUGGGAAGAACACCGGUGGCGAAGGCGGCGAGCUGGUCCGUUACUGACGCUGAGGCGCGACAGCGUGGGGAGCAAACAGGAUUAGAUACCCUGGUAGUCCACGCCGUAAACGAUGUGCGCUGGAUGUUGGGUGACCUAGUCACUCAGUGUCGUAGCUAACGCGGUAAGCGCACCGCCUGGGGAGUACGGCCGCAAGGUUG